AGAAGGAAAUGUAGAGCUCUAAGU
rnacentral:piRNA from 1 species